GAGAAAGGACGGUUAUGCAGCUGGCUUGAAACCAGUAUUAGGGGGUUCGAUUCCUUCCUUUCUUG
rnacentral:tRNA from 1 species